UGCGUAGGUGGUCUGUCAAGUCCGAUGUGAAAGCCCUGGGCUCAACCUGGGAACUGCAUUGGAAACUGGCAGUCUGGAGUGCGGUAGAGGGUAGCGGAAUUCCCGGUGUAGCAGUGAAAUGCGUAGAUAUCGGGAGGAACAUCCGUGGCGAAGGCGGCUACCUGGACCAGCACUGACACUGAGGCACGAAAGCGUGGGGAGCAAACAG
rnacentral:rRNA from 1 species